ensembl:snoRNA Gm22554 predicted gene, 22554
CGCCCCUGGAAAUGGGCAAAGAGACAACUUGGUGUUGUUGUUGUUGUUCUUACAUCAGUCAGGGGCAGAACAGAUGUCAGUCCUUUGUUCACACUAGCUUGAUGCCUGGUUUGGUAGAUCAAGCUGUUCUAUGCCUAGGACACAUCA